UACGUAGGGUGCAAGCGUUGUCCGGAAUUAUUGGGCGUAAAGAGCUCGUAGGCGGUCUGUUGCGUCGGCUGUGAAAACCCGGGGCUCAACCCCGGGCCUGCAGCCGAUACGGGCAGACUAGAGUUCGGCAGGGGAGACUGGAAUUCCAGGUGUAGCGGUGAAAUGCGUAGAUAUCUGGAGGAACACCGGUGGCGAAGGCGGCAUCCUGGACCAACACUGACGCUGAGGAGCGAAAGCCAGGGGGAGCAAAGCGGGG
rnacentral:rRNA from 1 species